rnacentral:rRNA from 1 species
UUGAACGCUGGCGGCAGGCCUAACACAUGCAAGUCGAGCGGAUGAAGGGAGCUUGCUCCUGGAUUCAGCGGCGGACGGGUGAGUAAUGCCUAGGAAUCUGCCUGGUAGUGGGGGAUAACGUCCGGAAACGGGCGCUAAUACCGCAUACGUCCUGAGGGAGAAAGUGGGGGAUCUUCGGACCUCACGCUAUCAGAUGAGCCUAGGUCGGAUUAGCUAGUUGGUGGGGUAAAGGCCUACCAAGGCGACGAUCCGUAACUGGUCUGAGAGGAUGACCAGUCACACUGGAACUGAGACACGGUCCAGACUCCUACGGGAGGCAGCAGUGGGGAAUAUUGGACAAUGGGCGAAAGCCUGAUCCAGCCAUGCCGCGUGUGUGAAGAAGGUCUUCGGAUUGUAAAGCACUUUAAGUUGGGAGGAAGAGCAGUAAGUUAAUACCUUGCUGUUUUGACGUUACCAACAGAAUAAGCACCGGCUAACUUCGUG